GAAAGUCUGUCGGCGGAGACGCCGACCUACCUUCAAAACCACUGUGAAACCACCCGUUGCUUCGCGGCCUCCGCCCCCGCCCUCGCCGGCGGCGGCGCCGUCAGUCCGCAGGAGCCCAAACCAAAAAACUUCUUUGUAACAGUCUGUCUGAUACCAUGAAUUAAAAAAUUCGUUA
rnacentral:misc_RNA from 1 species